ACUACUGAAAAAUGUAUGUUCUAUCAGUAAUAGUAUUGACUAUUAAUAUUUUGGCUGAAAAUAAAGCAUGCUUAUCUGUUUCAUAACAAAGAUGCACUCUUUUUACACUCAAAUUUUCAGUUACUAGUGUCCUUUACUGGAUUUAAAUACUGGUCCCCCUCUUUUUGGUUUUAAACCCCUUCUAAAUGAUCAAAAGAGAAGGAUGUAUGGCAUAGGUAUGUGAAUCACCAUAAUCCACCAAUCUAAUCUGUGAGAAGCAUUGAAUGCAAU